UCCUUACCUCUCCAUUUCCUACGGGUAAACUCCCAAGUCUGAAAUUUCAGCUCAUUUUGCUCUCUUUUUCUCUCAAGGAAAGUGCUAGGAAGCUCCCUUGAGUCUUCCUCUCAAGUCCACCGGUUCACACACCAAAAGAAAGACAAAACCCCACCCAAAAGUCUUCCCAUUAUCUCAUUUUCUUGGCUGCACCAGACAGAAAGUCCAGCAGCAAGAAGGAAGCUUCUUUUAACUCUCACAAGCUCUCUUCCUCUCAUACUUUCUGGUCCAGCCACGUGGCUUUCAUGUACUAGGAAAGGAAAAUCCUUUCAUGUGUUACCAGUAUCCAAGUCUAAGCUCCUUCAACUUUAGGCUCUCGGUUCCUCUGCUUUCAGGUAAGGGAUAAGUUAUAUGGGCAUUUGUUAGCAGGUUUUAUUUUGGAGCAGAGGAAGCCUUAGUCG